rnacentral:lncRNA from 1 species
AAGGAAGUGGGUGGACCAUGCUUAAAACUUUUAGAAUCCAAGACAGACCCCAGUAGAGUAUUUGAGUUGUUAUCUGCAGCUAUUACUGCCUGACAUGAUGCUUCUCUUUGGUCAUGAGCAUAGGCCUGCUCUACCUAGGAGAAAGGCUGCAUCUGCAAAUUGUCACUCUUGAUGUUGUCCAAUCGAUCAUCCUGUCCAUCUAGAAACAUACGCACGGUUCUAUUGAAGAAUAUCAUUGUCGUGUUUAUAUUAACUGCAGAUUUCAUUGGAUUUGGUCGACAAAAAUCAAUUUCACGCCACAAUCCUCGGAGGUUGUAGUAUUUUUCAAGGGAUUCGCCUCCCUGUUUGAGCUGAGAUACACGCUACCUAAGGUCAUACACUGAGAAGUAUCGAUGCCAUCAAAAUAUGUAGUGGCUAUUGCAUCCCAAACUGCCUUAACUGUGGGAAACCAAAUAGAAUUUCCAACGAGAGAAGGGUUCUUGGAAUUGAUUAGCCACCCUUUGACAAUAGCAUUGUCGGUGCGCCAUUAUAGAAUAUUGGGAUCUGUCUGUGGAGGUUCAGGGAGGUCUUCAUUAAUGUAGCCCAGCUUAUCCUUGCCUGAGAUAUACAUUUCAACCAAAUGGGAUCGAAGUGCAUAGUUGGUGUCAUCCAACUUGAUCCAAUCUGUGCAGUUGUAGAGUCGGUUGUGGAGGUAGGGGCUGAAGCUUUGGUCAAGACUUCAGCCAUCUUUGUGGUUAAUUAUCAUAAAAUGGAGGAAGAUGAUGAUUCCUUAGAAUUGGAGUCGUUGUCGACCCUGGAGAUCAGUGAAAAAGUGGUAAGUUAAGGUCAGAAAUUCUGUAAUACCAGACGACAAAGAAUGCCAAGCACUCAUACCAUGUCAGUUUGCAAGGAAAUAAUUGUACAAUCGUUGGUUUCUUUACACAUUUUAGCAGUAUGUAACAGCAACUAUAGUCUUAUUUAGCUGAGUACAUCACGGUAUUCACUAACAGUUUGAUUAAUUUGAUUCCUACAUAUCCUCCUUCGAUUGCUUGGAGGAGUAACUCAUGCCAACACUCCUCCUCAAGUUGGUGAGUAUAAAUCGCUAAUGCCAAAAUUGUCA